UACAGAGGUCUCAAGCGUUGUUCGGAUUCAUUGGGCGUAAAGGGCGUGUAGGCGGUCGAUCAAGUUGGAGGUGAAAUCCCUCGGCUCAACUGAGGAAUUGCCUUCGAUACUGUUCGGCUUGAGUCCUGGAGAGGGUAGCGGAAUUCCCGGUGUAGCGGUGAAAUGCGUAGAGACCGGGAAGAACACCAGUGGCGAAGGCGGCUACCUGGACAGGUACUGACGCUAACAGCGCGAAAGCUAGGGGAGCAAACAGG
rnacentral:rRNA from 1 species